GGAUCAAUUAAUUGGUCGUGCCUCUGGUACGUACUGAUCUUAUUGGUUUCUCCCUUCUGACGAACCAUGAUGUCAUUAAUUUGGUGUUGCGGGGAAUUUGGACUGUUACUUUGAAAAAAUUAGAGUGUUUAAAGCAAGCUAACGCUUGAAUACAUUAGCAUGGAAUAAUGAAAUAGGACGUUCGAUCCUAUUUUGUUGGUUUCUAGGAUUGACGUA
rnacentral:rRNA from 1 species